rnacentral:rRNA from 1 species
UACGAAGGGAGCUAGCGUUGUUCGGAAUCACUGGGCGUAAAGCGCGCGUAGGCGGCGUUUCAAGUCAGAGGUGAAAUCCCAGGGCUUAACCCUGGAAUUGCCUUUGAAACUGUAAUGCUGGAGUACUGGAGGGGAUGGCGGAAUUCCUAAUGUAGCGGUGAAAUGCGUAGAUAUUAGGAGGAACACCAGCGGCGAAGGCGGCCAUCUGGACAGUAACUGACGCUGAGGCGCGAAAGCGUGGGGAUCAAACAGG